GUUUUUGGGUGAUUCAGUUCAUUUGCAUGGCAAAGAGGGACUUUGCAAUUAAUUGCAAUUCAUCUGAUCACUCUUCAUAACAUUCUGGAGUAUAUGCAAAUUGCCAUCAUUACAAAGUCUGAGGCAGCAGACUUUGAAAAUUAAUAUUUGUGUCAUUCUCAAGUUUUGGCCACGACUGUACAUUGCACUUUCUUGCAGCUAUUCAAAUUAACUGAAAACAUUUCAGCGACUGCAAACUAAAAGCCGUAAUUGAAUGGGCAUUUGUUUUGUUUGCAGAUUAUAUUUUGUUGAUCUGAAAGAGCACUUUAAAACCAACGUGCACAAGAAAAAUGGAUUAAGCUGUUGAAGGAGGAACCUUGCACUCAGGCAGAAGCAGAAAGAGCGGCAGGUAUGGGUUCUUACAUACCCCACUAAACUGUAGAGGUGGAAGAGAAGAUGGACUGAAUGUGGACUGCCUUUCUUUGACCAUUACUUUCACCCAGGUUCCAGAACACCUUCCUUUUUGUGGCUCUGAGCUAUGGACAUUGCUUUGCAUUACAUAUGUAUAGAUGUUUUUAUACAUUCACAUGUAAAUAUGUCACAUGUGGAGCAAACAAUUAAAAGGAAAUGUGGUGAUUGGCUGGAUGCCAGUUUCUAUUUUAGCCAGGUUUAUAAUUUUGUUAGAAUCGGAUUUCAAUGCCUGUGCAACCCAACAACAUUGAAUACAGUGCUGAAUUUACAAUUAAAUAUAUAGGAUAGAUAGAGCUACUCAUUACUUGAGAUUGUAACUUGAGCUGAAAUGCAAUUGUAAAGCACAGUUUGUGCUCCUACAAUUCACUGUUAAUCUUAAAUGCAAUUAAAGUACCAGUCAGCUAGACUUGUAGCUAGAGAACUGUUAGACCUAAAAUGUUCAUCUGAACUUAAUGAAUCUGUUGAGUGAAACUGAGGAAAUUAGACGACCCCCAUCAACAGGAGUCAUGGGUUUUUCUUUGAAAUAUGAAAUAUUUCAUGAAAUAUUUUUGUUAAAGCUGCAAUAUGUAACUUUUUGGGCGAUCUGACCAAAUUCGCAUAGAAAUGUGAGUUAUAGAUCUGUUAUUCUCAUUGAAAGGAAGUCUUAAGAAGUAUGUGCACUAUUUCUAUGUUUCCCGUUAACUUUAGUUUUUGCGUCCUUUACUUUCGGUUUUGUACACCGGCUGACAAUAUUUUGGGUUGUUAGAAAGAUAUUUCCCAGCGUUUUAUGUGGUGAUUGUGGUGAUGGUACAAUUCUCUACACAAGCGAUUGCUUGUUUUGUCACAAACUGAAAUUAGCAAACCUAUUAUCGUUUUAGCAACUAGGAAAAGGCGGAGUUCUAAUUGUUAUAAGGUCGAAGUAAGCAUACACCGAGUAAAACACCUAGUUUUCUGAGCAACCUUUCUAGUUAUUAGGACAUGUAAACACCUUAAUCAGCAUUCCAGUGGUGUAUUUCAUCUGCCCAUGUGCUAUCACCAGCCAAACAAGCCUCCCUCUUUAGCGUGAGUUCGGAAAUAAAUUAAUGCACGCGUCUUACAAGAAUAGUAGUUUUUGCAUACAAAUGAUCAGUUGAAGUCGGAAGUUUACAUACACCUUAGCCAAAUACAUUUAAACUCAGUUUUUCACAAUUCCUGAUAUUUAAUCCUUGUACAAAUUCCCUGUCUUAGGUCAGUUAGGAAUGUGAAAUGUCAGAAUAAUAGUAGAGAGAAUGAUUUAUUUCAGCUUUUAUUUCUUUCAUCACAUUCCCAGUGGGUCAGAAGUUUACAUACACUCAAUUAGUAUUUGGUAGCAUUGCCUUUAAAUUGUUUAACUUGGGUCAAACGUUUCGGGUAGCCUUCCACAAGCUUCCCGCAAUAAAUUGGGCGAAUUUCGCAGUCCUUUGGGGAGUGGAUUGGAUCUGGAAAAUGAGAAAGCAAUGUUGAUACGCUUGCAGUGACAGGGAAGGUGCGGACUUCUCGCUACAUAAUACAUAUUUAUACAGAGUACAUUUUAAAUGUAAUUUGUGUCUAUAUUUCCCAUAAAUAUUUGGUGCCAA